UAGUGUGUAAAAAGUACAAUUUAAUGAUCUUUACAGGCAAAGUAAAAGUCCCAAAGCACCACGUUCUCUUGCUGGGAAGGCUGGCAUCGCCCUGCUUACGGAUGGAGGGACACAGUCAGACCUUUGCUGAAGACAAGUCACUUGAGACACAGAACACUCUUGAAGUCAUACUCCUUUACAUAGACCAAAACCAAAGCCAUUGGGUCAUGCUUUCCCAAAGGAAGUUCUAAAUAGC
rnacentral:lncRNA from 1 species